rnacentral:rRNA from 1 species
AAUGAACGCUGGCGGCAGGCCUAACACAUGCAAGUCGAACGAGUGGCGGACGGGUGAGGAAUACAUGGGAAUCUACUCUGUCGUGGGGGAUAACGUAGGGAAACUUACGCUAAUACCGCAUACGAUCGAAUGAGCCGAUGUCGGAUUAGCUAGUGGGAGGGGUAAAGGCCCACCAAGGCGACGAUCCGUAGCUGGUCUGAGAGGAUGAUCAGCCACACUGGAACGGAGACACGGUCCAGACUCCUACGGGAGGCAGCAGUGGGGAAUAUUGGACAAUGGGCGCAAGCUUGAUCCAGCCAUACCGCUGGGGGGAAGAAGGCCUUCGGGUUGUAAAGCCCUUUUGUUGGGAAAGCGGUACCCAAAGAAUAAGCACCGGCUAACUACGUGCCAGCAGCCGCGGUAAUAC